AUUGAACGCUGGCGGCAGGCCUAACACAUGCAAGUCGAACGGUAACAGGAAGAAGCUUGCUUCUUUGCUGACGAGUGGCGGACGGGUGAGUAAUGUCUGGGAAACUGCCUGAUGGAGGGGGAUAACUACUGGAAACGGUAGCUAAUACCGCAUAACGUCGCAAGACCAAAGAGGGGGACCUUCGGGCCUCUUGCCAUCGGAUGUGCCCAGAUGGGAUUAGCUAGUAGGUGGGGUAACGGCUCACCUAGGCGACGAUCCCUAGCUGGUCUGAGAGGAUGACCAGCCACACUGGAACUGAGACACGGUCCAGACUCCUACGGGAGGCAGCAGUGGGGAAUAUUGCACAAUGGGCGCAAGCCUGAUGCAGCCAUGCCGCGUGUAUGAAGAAGGCCUUCGGGUUGUAAAGUACUUUCAGCGGGGAGGAAGGGAGUAAAGUUAAUACCUUUGCUCAUUGACGUUACCCGCAGAAGAAGCACCGGCUAACUCCGUGCCAGCAGCCGCGGUAAUACGGAGGGUGCAAGCGUUAAUCGGAAUUACUGGGCGUAAAGCGCACGCAGGCGGUUUGUUAAGUCAGAUGUGAAAUCCCCGGGCUCAACCUGGGAACUGCAUCUGAUACUGGCAAGCUUGAGUCUCGUAGAGGGGGGUAGAAUUCCAGGUGUAGCGGUGAAAUGCGUAGAGAUCUGGAGGAAUACCGGUGGCGAAGGCGGCCCCCUGGACGAAGACUGACGCUCAGGUGCGAAAGCGUGGGGAGCAAACAGGAUUAGAUACCCUGGUAGUCCACGCCGUAAACGAUGUCGACUUGGAGGUUGUGCCCUUGAGGCGUGGCUUCCGGAGCUAACGCGUUAAGUCGACCGCCUGGGGAGUACGGCCGCAAGGUUAAAACUCAAAUGAAUUGACGGGGGCCCGCACAAGCGGUGGAGCAUGUGGUUUAAUUCGAUGCAACGCGAAGAACCUUACCUGGUCUUGACAUCCACAGAACUUUCCAGAGAUGGAUUGGUGCCUUCGGGAACUGUGAGACAGGUGCUGCAUGGCUGUCGUCAGCUCGUGUUGUGAAAUGUUGGGUUAAGUCCCGCAACGAGCGCAACCCUUAUCUUUUGUUGCCAGCGGUCCGGCCGGGAACUCAAAGGAGACUGCCAGUGAUAAACUGGAGGAAGGUGGGGAUGACGUCAAGUCAUCAUGACCCUUACGACCAGGGCUACACACGUGCUACAAUGGCGCAUACAAAGAGAAGCGACCUCGCGAGAGCAAGCGGACCUCAUAAAGUGCGUCGUAGUCCGGAUUGGAGUCCGCAACUCGACUCCAUGAAGUCGGAAUCGCUAGUAAUCGUGGAUCAGAAUGCCACGGUGAAUACGUUCCCGGGCAU
rnacentral:rRNA from 1 species